rnacentral:rRNA from 1 species
UGGGGAAUUUUGGACAAUGGGCGAAAGCCUGAUCCAGCAAUGCCGCGUGUGUGAAGAAGGCCUUCGGGUUGUAAAGCACUUUUGUCCGGAAAGAAAUCCUUGGCUCUAAUACAGUCGGGGGAUGACGGUACCGGAAGAAUAAGCACCGGCUAACUACGUGCCAGCAGCCGCGGUAAUACGUAGGGUGCAAGCGUUAAUCGGAAUUACUGGGCGUAAGCGUGCGCAGGCGGUUUGCUAAGACCGAUGUGAAAUCCCCGGGCUCAACCUGGGAACUGCAUUGGUGACUGGCAGGCUAGAGUAUGGCAGAGGGGGGUAGAAUUCCACGUGUAGCAGUGAAAUGCGUAGAGAUGUGGAGGAAUACCGAUGGCGAAGGCAGCCCCCUGGGCCAAUACUGACGCUCAUGCACGAAAGCGUGGGGGAGCAAACAGGAUUCAGAUACCCUGGUAGUCCAGCGCCCUAAACGAUGUCAACUAGUUGUUGGGGACUUCAUUUCCUUAGUAACGUAGCUAACGCGUGAAGUUGACCGCCUGGGGAGUACGGUCG